CGGAUGACUUAAAAUUGAUUUUAGGGGAAAAUGCACGUUCCUUCUACGGUAGUGUAAAGGCUCAACGAGCAGUCAGACUAUGGGGUACUUGACGAUGAUAGAUAUAUGAGAUGUUUCAGCGACUCAGGUAGUCACAUAGCAUUGUUUUUUAGGGGAAGCCAGAAAAAGCAAACGAAAAAAAGGAUAACCAAUGCCUGAUUCUUUUUACAAUGCCAGCAAUUCCUUUUUGGAUUUGUAAACAUCGCAGAUGUAGAAAUUUAGCAGUUGUUAAAGACUGGUUCCGCCUUGAUGACAAUGAAGAAGGAGGAGGACAAAUGGGGGAAAACAAAUGCAUAUGUGAAAAACAAAUGCAAUCCAAAGUUG